AAUAGCGUAUAUUUAAGUUGUUGCAGUUAAAAAGCUCGUAGUCGGAUUUUGGCUGAGAACGAUCGGUCCGCCGUUAGGUGUGCACUGAUUGGUCUCAGCUUCCUGGUGAGGAGGUGUGCUUCACGGCCACUUAGUCACCGUGGUUACUUUGAAAAAAUUAGAGUGUUCAAAGCGGGCUUACGCUUGAAUAUAUUAGCAUGGAAUAACACCAUAGGACUCCUGUCCUAUUUCGUUGGUCUCGGGACGGGAGUAAUGAUUAAGAGGAACAGUUGGGGGCAUUCGUAUUUCAUUGUCAGAGGUGAAAUUCUUGGAUUUAUGAAAGACGAACUUCUGCGAAAGCAUUUGCCAAGGAUGUUUUCAUUGA
rnacentral:rRNA from 1 species